rnacentral:rRNA from 1 species
CGCGAAGAACCUUACCUGGGCUCGAACGGCUUUUCAACGACGGUGGAAACAUCGUUAUCCCGCAAGGGAGUAGAGUCGAGGUGCUGCAUGGCUGUCGUCAGCUCGUGUCGUGAGAUGUUGGGUUAAGUCCCGCAACGAGCGCAACCCUUGUCCUGUGUUGCCAUCAUUCAGUUGGGCACUCUCAGGAGACCGCCAGCGAUAAGUUGGAGGAAGGUGGGGAUGACGUCAAGUCAUCAUGGCCUUUAUGUCCAGGGCUACACACGUGCUACAAUGGGUGGUACAAAGCGCUGCAAACCCGCGAGGGGGAGCCAAUCGCAUAAAACCGUUCUCAGUUCGGAUCGCAGGCUGCAACUCGCCUGCGUGAAGCUGGAAUCGCUAGUAAUGGUAUAUCAGAAUGAUACCGUGAAUACGUUCCCGGGCCUUGUACACACCG